rnacentral:rRNA from 1 species
GACAGAGGGUGCAAACGUUGCUCGGAAUCACUGGGCGUAAAGGGCGUGUAGGCGGGAAGGAAAGUCAGAUGUGAAAUCCCCAGGCUCAACCUGGGAACUGCAUUUGAAACUCCCUUUCUUGAGUGCCGGAGAGGAAAGCGGAAUUCCUGGUGUAGAGGUGAAAUUCGUAGAUAUCAGGAGGAACACCAGCGGCGAAGGCGGCUUUCUGGACGGUAACUGACGCUGAGACGCGAAAGCGUGGGGAGCAAACAGG